rnacentral:piRNA from 1 species
UGUGCCACCAGAAAGCCCUCGGCCC